UACGUAGGGUGCAAGCGUUGUCCGGAAUUAUUGGGCGUAAAGAGCUCGUAGGCGGUUUGUCGCGUCUGCUGUGAAAACCCGAGGCUCAACCUCGGGCCUGCAGUGGGCACGGGCAGACUAGAGUGCGGUAGGGGAGAUUGGAAUUCCUGGUGUAGCGGUGGAAUGCGCAGAUAUCGGGAAGAACACCCGUGGCGAAGGCGGCACUCUGGGACGGUACUGACGCUGAGACGCGAAAGCGUGGGGAGCGAACAGG
rnacentral:rRNA from 1 species